rnacentral:rRNA from 1 species
AGCAUGUGGUUUAAUUCGAAGCAACGCGAAGAACCUUACCAGGUCUUGACAUCCCGAUGCUAUUUCUAGAGAUAGAAAGUUACUUCGGUACAUCGGUGACAGGUGGUGCAUGGUUGUCGUCAGCUCGUGUCGUGAGAUGUUGGGUUAAGUCCCGCAACGAGCGCAACCCCUAUUGUUAGCUGCCAUCAUUCAGUUGGGCACUCUAGCGAGACUGCCGGUAAUAAACCGGAGGAAGGUGGGAUGACGUCAAAUCAUCAUGCCCCUUAUGACCUGGGCUACACACGUGCUACAAUGGUUGGUACAACGAGUUGCGAGUCGGUGACGGCGAGCUAAUCUCUUAAAGCCAAUCUCAGUUCGGAUUGUAGGCUGCAACUCGCCUACAUGAAGUCGGAAUCGCUAGUAAUCGCGGAUCAGCACGCCGCGGUCGAAUACGUUCCCGGGCCUU